UGGGCUAUAGCCAAGUGGUAAGGCAGCGGACUUUGACUUCGUUAUCGUUGGUUCGAAUCCAGCUAGCCCAG
rnacentral:tRNA from 1 species